CAAAGUUUGCUUUUAGUUCUCAUUGUGAGAUCACAAGUGGAGGCUCCAACCAGUCCAGAAGUUCCUUUCUAUGGGGAAGCUGUGGCAGCAAGGCCGUGAAGAGAGUCUGACUUAAUUGCAAGAACUGAACCGACCAGCCUAUACUUUAAGGCUUGUUAUUUCACUGACUAAGGAAAGGCUACUUAAGAGGGCAAGCUCAGACAUACAUAAUCUGGAGUGGAUCUUCCAUGGGAAAACACGUAUAUAACAGAAAUUAUUGGCAAAACUAUAAGUAUGGUCUACAGAAUCCUGAAUAAUUUCUACUUAAACGUCCCAAUAUCAACUCUCUAUUUUGCUAUUGACAUAAUCUUAUUUGAGAGGCAAAAAAUUUUAAAAAUUAUAUCAUCUUUUUAAUUUCUAAGCCCCAGAACAAGACAAUUGGCAGCAUUUUUUUCAUGUCAUUUUGCUACAUUCUACAUAAUGUUAAGUUGAGGUUAGGGAUUUUCAUUUGUGGAGG
rnacentral:lncRNA from 1 species